GAUGAACGCUGGCGGCGUGCUUAACACAUGCAAGCCGAACGAAGCACUUUAUUUGAUUUCCUUCGGGACUGAUUAUUUUGUGACUGAGUGGCGGACGGGUGAGUAACGCGUGGGUAACCUGCCUUGUACAGGGGGAUAACAGUUGGAAACGGCUGCUAAUACCGCAUAAGCGCACGGCAUCGCAUGAUGCAGUGUGAAAAACUCCGGUGGUAUAAGAUGGACCCGCGUUGGAUUAGCUAGUUGGUGAGGUAACGGCCCACCAAGGCGACGAUCCAUAGCCGACCUGAGAGGGUGACCGGCCACAUUGGGACUGAGACACGGCCCAAACUCCUACGGGAGGCAGCAGUGGGGAAUAUUGCACAAUGGGCGAAAGCCUGAUGCAGCGACGCCGCGUGAGCGAAGAAGUAUUUCGGUAUGUAAAGCUCUAUAGCAGGGAAGAUAAUGACGGUACCUGACUAAGAAGCACCGGCUAAAUACGUG
rnacentral:rRNA from 1 species